GUGAGACUCGGCCUUGAUUGACUAUUGAAAAAGAUUUCCUUAAUACAGGUGCAAAUUCUGGGGUUUGUACUAUAGUGACGAAAGCAAAGCCCAGUUCUUGUCUAAUCUCUAAAGAUCGGGUUCCGCUAUGGAAGCUUUAUCAUUUACGGCAGCCUAUAAGUAUAAGGAAGGAGAACGGGGAACUGAACUGGCCAAUCCGGCUGUGCUUUCCGGGCUGUCCAUUCCCUACCUUAUGAUUUUGCAGUAGUCCAAGCCUUGCCCAAGCUUUUCAUUCUAGUCCGUCACUGGCAUCCAUCAAGUCAAUAAAAUCUCCGUCUUGCUUGGUGAUUUCCUUCUGUCUUCAGUCAGCCAAUCAAUCCAUCAAGUCAAUACACUCUCUGUUCUUCUUGGUGAUUUCUUUCUGUCUUCAGUCACCCAAUCAAUCAGUCAGCGAAUAAGCCUUUUGGUGCUUGACGACCUCUCACCGUGGCCGCAUUCGGUCCUGUCUUCCAUGUAGUAUUUUUUCUGUUGUCGGUCAAUUGUAUUUUGAAUUCGUCUUUGUUCAAGUCCCAAGCUCUUAGUCCGUACGCCCUCUAGCCCUAUUUCAAACUCUCUCUUAGCGAGUCCUUCAGUUUUUUGAAAAAGAUCGUAGAAUAGUCUUUGACUGAGAUUGAGUCUGCUUGCAGGUAUCUUCCCAUUUCCCUAUUCCGCAGUUUUCCCUUUCACAAAUGGCACAUCAAAUGAUGUAUCAACCAGCAAGUUGUUAAAGGCCAACGCGAACAAUUCUCCCAAGAUGGCAGCUAAGAGAUGCCAUUAAGAAGUAAGACA
rnacentral:lncRNA from 1 species